rnacentral:misc_RNA from 1 species
GAUGAAGAACGUAGCGAAAUGCGAUAAGUAAUGUGAAUUGCAGAAUUCAGUGAAUCAUCGAAUCUUUGAACGCACAUUGCGCCCCCUGGUAUUCCGGGGGGCAUGCCUGUCCGAGCGUCAUUACAACCCUCAAGCUCAGCUUGGUAUUGGGCCCCGCCGCUUCGGCGGGCCCUAAAGUCAGUGGCGGUGCCGUCCGGCUCCGAGCGUAGUAAUUCUUCUCGCUCUGGAGGUCCGGUCGUGUGCUCGCCAGCAACCCCCAAUUUUUUUCAGGUUGACCUCGGAUCAGGUAGGGAUACCCGCUGAACUUAAGCAUAUCAAUAAGCGGAGGA